rnacentral:tRNA from 1 species
GUUUUAAUAGUUUAAAUAAAACAUUGGUCUUGUAAACCAAAAUUAAGAUUGCCCCCACUUUUAAAACU